CCCAGCAGAACUGGAAAUUGCUAACGAGAGUAUGGAAGACAAAGUGAAGUUGAGCUGCCCGGUGUUAGCGGCAAUGGAAUACCAAACAUCUCAUUUUCUACAAAGCAGCACCAUAAUUCAUGAUGGAAUGGCUUUGCACUGGGGAUGCCGAUUACUCACACAAACUACUGAGGAUGUAAAAGGAAAAGAGAUGAAUCCAGGGGGAAAUAUUCAGACACAAACAGCUAGAUCCUUAUGUUGCUCAGCCAUCUUCAGACAAGUGUCCUCCUGCAGCAGAUGGGGACCAGUACAGAGAACUACAGACAGACAUUAUGCAGAGAGUGAGAAAACUUGGAACACUCAUCCCAAACAAGAUGUUUCCAUCAAAUCCCUUCCCUCAGAGCUAAGGGAACCACGCAGAAGAGAAGCAGUAAGAGUGUAAAAGUCAGAGGAGAUGGAGGAAACCAAGACAUCAGCGCUCUCUAAAUAAAAAUCAGAAAAUCAUUUGAAGCAAGGCUGGAGCAGCAAGCAUAGGGCCCACAUGGAUUGCUCUACGUCUUCUGUAUUUAUAUUUUGUUUCCCAGGUUAGUGAUCUUUGGAGGAAUUUCUGAGUGUGCAAAUGAGUGUUCUUUAAUUCUUGUGCCUUCUCUUGGGCUCUGGUCUUCCUGUUUCUUUGUCCUGUCCAACUUCAAUGUAAUAGUUAUUGUUAUCAUGUUAUAUUUUAUGUUGUUAUGUUUUAAGAUUAUCUUUAGAAACCUGUACUUUUCUAAUGAGAGACAGGAAGGAAGUGGAUCUAGAUGGAAAGGGAGCUGGGAAGGAACUUGAAGAAACUGAGGGAUUAUAUUAUGUGAGAAAAAUAAUCCAUUUCCAAUAAAAGGGGAAGAAAUUUUUUUCUUCCCAAGUUAUAAGUAGAGAAGAAUCUUAUUAAUUUUUAUGGGAAGUCUUAAAAUUUCUAAAAUGAAGACUGUUCUCAUAUCAGCUUAGACUUCAUAACUGAAUUCUCCUAUUACAUAUAGCUUGACCCAAUUGUCCACCUUGAAAAUCAGGUUUAGAAAAAAAAAUUCAGCUAUUUAAAAGCUGAAAUGUUUUCUAGACUUACACCUUUUAAAAAGCAUGAUGAGAAAUAUUUCAAGCCAAGGAAAAUGAACUGGCUAUCUAGAACCAAGGUGCCUUUGUUUGUUUGUUUGUUUGUUUUUUGUCAUGUGGUAAGUUUCUGGUAUGCAGUGCUCCAAUGUUGUACUUUAAUUAUAUGAACUACAGAAAUUCAAACUUUCCCCCAUUUUUGUGAUGUUAAUGUUACGAACUUUUAACAUUAACUCAGAAAAACCAAGAGCAAAACUUUUGUAGUGGUAAAAAAAUGAGUCUCCACUUCCACAAUCUACAAUGAUGGUGAAUUAUGUCCUGCACAGUACAUUAUUGGGCUGGACAUGUACUGUACAGGUGACUGGUUACCCCAGGCAAAUAGGUAGGCUCAUCCCAUCUCAUUAUAGACUCUGUGUUUUCUUUUCUCCUUGUGAAUAGCUUUAUUAUUUUGAGAACUGGAAUGAGUACAUAUCAUUACUGCUCUGCGCCUCACACUCCAGCUCCUCCGUGUCUCCGCUUUGCUUUCAGUUUUAUGCCCUCUUCUUUAAUUAUGCUUAUUACGUGUGUACAUGUUUACAUCUAUGUGCAUAUACAUGUUCACACACAUGAACACAACUUAUUUUUAAAUGUGUGCCUAUUUGUACAUAUGAUCAUACAUGCACACAUGUGUCUGUAACUUACUAAGCCCAUUUAAGUUUUGUUGUGCGUAUAGGUGUCCAGGACUGAGGACAUGGGAUUGGACUAUCAACGUUGGUAUUAGUCCAUGAAGACAAGCCAUGCUGCCUCUCUCAGCAGCUGAUCCUGUAUCUCUUCCUGUGGAGGUGGGCCAUAUACAGUUUCUGCGGUUUGCAGGAGCAUUUCUAAUGGUGUUAAAGUUAUGUUGGUCUUGUUCAGGCAAGCAUAUUGUUUGGAUUCCGUGGAUGAAUCUCUUUCCUAGGGAACACUACCCAGUAGCAGAUAUACUGGUCCUCUGGCUUGGAAAAUCUUUAUUACCUUCUGUUGCAAUUUCCUUUGAACUUUAGAAAUAGGAAUUGAAUUUAAGAUGCAUUAGUUUGGAUUGAACAAUAGUCACUUAUUAUUUUGCCCAGUUUUAGAUCUCUAUAAUAGUAUCUAUUUGUUAAAAAAAAAACUUUCAUGAUAUGUGUGAGUUAAAGUAAUUUGUAUAUAUAGGCAUAAAUACUUAGAAAAUGUUGACUUAUAUUGAUUUGCAGAGAAGAAAGCAAUUAUGAUCAACAGACCUAGAGGGCAAGGAUUCACAAGAAAACAUCUGCCCAAGGCAACUUGUGAUCUGUAUUGGAUUGUCAGAUCCAUCACACCAUUAAAUGGUGAAUUAAAUACUACACUUCCUUUGUUCUUAUUUCAUGGUCAAUCAACUUUUCUUAUUAUAAUUUGUGUUCCCCUGUAGCUUAUUACAUUGAAACAACACAAUAUAUAGAAGAUACAAGGACUGUCACAGGGGUAUAACACAUCAAUUAUCCUUUUCAUUUUAAAUUAAAACAUUAGUAUUUGUAUUAUAUUUAUGAGCUGUGAAUGAGUGCAGCCUGAACUUGCAUAAUAAUUGGAUAGGUUUUCAGAUACAGUGAACAAGGCAUUGGUAUCUAGUAAGGCACUGCAGCUUCGCUACAUGAGCCUCCUUGCACACGUAAUUAUAUAAAUUUGUGUGUGUGUGUGCACAUAUUUACAUGUGUCCAGGUGUUCUAUAUGUUCAGUUUAAUGCCAAUUAACAAACCAAAAUAUUGAGAUAAUUUCACGACAUCAGAACCACUCUUUGAUACAUCUUACAGGAAUGCAGUAACUAUAUUGAAGAGAACAUUAGAAUAUAUCCAACUGGAGAAUAAGAGAUGUAUGCGAUAUACACCUUAAUGUAAUAUCCGUUAGGAACAUAGCUUGUGGCAGAGGUGCAUUCGAAUGUGGGUUGUUUAGUAAAUGAUGCCUUUAAUACAUCCUAUAUGUUGCUUAAGGGCUAAAUACCUUCUCUGUACACAUACUAACUGACAUGGAUUUGACUGAUCAUUUUAGAUGAAGUAACCAUCUAAAAUUAAGCACACACACUCACAAUAUUAAGUACGGUAAAAAUCAUUUCAAAAUAUUUGAUAAGAAAGACAGAAGGAGAAUUAAAUCCCAGAAUCCAUAAUAAAAUAUUGGGAUACAUUAAACACAAUAAAUAAAAUCAAUGAAAAAUAUAGCUAAAAGUAUAAAUGUGAAUAGAAUGAAACAGUUCAACAACAUAAGAGAAUCAUCUCCAUGUACCACUGAGAAAAAGAUAAUCCAAAAAAAUAAUUAUAGAAUUUCUUUUAAAAUACAUUAAAGCAUUCUUAAUCCCAUUAAAAUUAUAAGAAUGUAAUAAGAUAAUCUGUUAACUUAAUCCAUAUAUCGCGAUAUAAACAUUUUUUUCCUUUUUAUUACCAUUUAUUACACUUUAUUUAAUUUGUAUCUCGACUGUGGCCUCCUCCCUCAUCUCUUUCCAAUCCCACUCUCUUUCCCUCUCCUCCCCCAUGCCCCUUCCCUAAUCCACUGAUAGAGGAGGUCCUCCUCCCCUUCUAUCUGACCCUAGCCUAUCAGGUCUCAUUAGGACUGGCUGCAUUGUCUUCUUCUAUGGCCUGGCAAGGCUGUACCCCCCAAGAGGGAGGUGAUCAAAGAGCCAGCCACUGAGUUCAGGCCAGAAAAAGUCCCUGCUCCCCUUACUAGGGAACCCACUUGGAGACUGACUCUAUGGGCUACAUCUGAGCUGGGAUUUUAGAUCCUCUCCAUAAAUUGUCCUUGGUUGGGGUAUCAUUCUCUUCAGGGCCCCAAGGGCUCAGUUUUUAUAGCUCUGUUGGUCUCCUUUGGGAGCUCCUGUCCUCUCCAGGUCUUUCUCUCUCCCCCUUCUAUUAUAAGAUGUCCUGUACUCUGCCCCAAAUUUGGCUUUUAGUUUCAGCAUCUGCUUCUUUACCUUCUAUUCCUUCAAGUUCAGUAGAGUUUUUCAGAGGCCAUCUGUGGUAGGUUCCUGCCCUGUUCCGUCUUCUCCUGCUUCUGAUCUCUAUCGCAUUUGUCCUUUUGAAGAAGGAUUGAGCAUCUUCCCUCGGGUCUUCCUUGUUGUUUAGCUUAUUUAGGAGUAUAAAUUUUAGUUAGUAUGUUUACCCUAUAUUAUUUGGCUAAUAACCACUUAUGUAUGAGUGUAUAUCAUGUGUGUCUUUCUGCUUCUGUAUUACCUCACUCAAGAUGAUCUUUUCUAGUUCCCACCAUUUGCCUGCAAAUUGCACGAUUUCCUUGUUUUUAAUAGCUGAGUAGUAUUCCAUUUUGUAAAUGUACCUGAAUUUCUGUAUCCAUUCCUCCUUUGAGGGACAUGUGGGUUGUAUCCAGAUUCUGGGUAUUAAGAGUAGAGCUGCUAUGAACAUGGUUGAGCAAAUGUCCUUGUUGUAUACUUGAAUAUGUUUUGGAUAUAUACCUAUUGCUGGGUCUUGAGGAAGCACUAUUCCUAAUUUUCUGAGAAAAUGCCAGAUUGAUUUGCAAAGUGGUUGUACAAGGUUACACUCCCACCAGCAAUGGAGGAGGAUUCCACUUUCUCCACAUCCUCUCCAGCAUAUGUUGUCAUUUUAGUUUUUGAUCUUAGUCAUUAUGAUGAGUGUAAGGUGAAAUAUCAGGGUUGUUUUGAUUUGCGUCUCCCUGAUGACUAAGGACGCUGAACAUUUUUUAAGAGUUUCUUUGUCAUUCAAUAUUCCUUUGUUGAGAAUUCUUUGUUUAGUUCUGUACCCCAUAUUUUAAUAAGAUUAUUUGCUUUGUUUAUGUUUAACUUAAGUUCAAAGAAUAUUAGCCACCUGUCAGAUAUAGGGUUCGUGAAGAUCCUUUUCCAAUCUGUAGGCAGUCAUUUUGUUCUGACAGUGUCCUUUGCUUUAUAGAAGUUUUCAGUUUCAUGAGGUCCCAUUUCUUAAUUGUUGAUCUUAGAGCCUGUGCUGUUAGUGUUCUCUUUAGGAAGUUGUCUCCUGUGCCAAUGAGGUCAAGAUUCUUCCCCACUUUUUCUUCUAACAGGUUUAGUGUGUCUGGUUUUAUGUUGAGGUCUUUGAUCCACUUGGACUUCAGUUUUGUGCAGGAUGGAUAAAUAGGGAUCUAUCUGCAUUUUUCUACAUGUUGAUAUCCAGUUAGACCAGCACAAUUUGUUGAAGAUGGUAUCUUUUUUUCCAUUAUAUGGUUUUGACUUCUUUGACAAAAAUCAAGUAUCUAUAGGUGUAUGGGUUUAUUUCUGGUUCUUCUAUUUGAUUCCAUUGAACUAUUAUUUUGUUUCUAUGCCAGCACCAUGUAGUUUUAUUACUGUUGCUCUAUAGUACAGCUUGAGAUCAGAGAUGGAGAUACCUCCAGAAUAUUUGUUAUUAUACAGGAUUGUUUUAGCAAUUCUGGGUGUUUUUGUUUUUCCAAAUAAAAUUGAGAAUUGUUCCUUCAAGUUCUGUAAAGAAUUGUGUUACUAUUUUGUUGGGAAUUACAUUGACUCUGUAGAUUGCUUUUGGUAGGAUGGCUAUUUUCUAUAUGAACAAAAUUUAGUGCCAACAUACACACAUACACACACGGAUACAAAAAAAAUUUUAAAGCCAGAUCCUAUAUAAGUCAAGUACAUUUAAAGGAAAAUUUAGCUAUACUUGUUGUCCUAAAAAUAUUCCCAUUUGAUAUAGAAUUUCUACUUUGGGAAUCUGUCCUAUUGAAAAGACUAUGUGCAAUGAGCAAAAAGUACUGUUGUGUCUUGUAUCAUACUGUGAAGUAGGAACCAAUAUAUCCCUAAGAACAUAAUUUAAUGACUAACUAUACAUAUAGACCAGGCUUAAAAUGAACUCCACAGAAUACUAUACUGGAGCAGUUUUUAAGACACAGGACUGCAGUGGAAGAAAAAGACAAGAAACCAUCAAAAAUGUGCACUUAGCCAUAGAAACAAGUAUGUCUCUAUAAAAGUGCACAAAUAUGCAGGCACAAAGACAAAAGAAACUUCUUUAGAUGAUGAAUGAUAGACACCAAGUUAUGUGGAUGGUAAUUUCUAAGGACACAAGUCAAUGUGCACAUUGCCACUGAUGUAGAGAACUCAUCCCACAGUUCCCCCCGUUGCUAUCUUGGGCUAUACUAUGCCAUAAAAGCUGUACAGAAUUCGAAGAAAGAGCGAUUGUCAUCCUACCCCCAAAAUGAGCAUGCUCUGCAUCAACUACAUAAUACAGAAACUAUCAAGAUUAUUUUUACACUCAUUCAGAGUUGUUUGGCCUAGACAUACAAUGUUAUAUAAGAUAUUAAUUAAUGCACAGUGUGGAUUUACUCUUGAAAUAUAUGAAUAAGGAAUUCUUGUGGCAUAUUCAGAUAAUUUCAACUAUGGAGUAAGUUCUCUAUGUCAGUGACAAAAAUUACACAUAUACACACACCCAGAAAUUCCCAUAGCAGAUAAUGUGGUGUCUAUUAUUUAAGUUAAUUUGUGUGUAAACUGUAAACUAAUUCCUUUAGUAAAUCAUCUACCUUAUAGGA